UAACAAUAUCUUUGAGCCUUUCUGCAGAACGAAAGCCCCCAACACAUGGAAGAACUGCUUGAUGAAGAAGGACGACCACCAGAACUAGUCCUGGGACUGCUAAACAGCAGCCCUGAGAAUCAUUGCAAGCUUGGCUCUACCCUGCUCCUUACCUACGGCCCAAUUUUCCACUCCCCAAACUAUAAAACCACCUCCUAAUCUCUCCCAAAGGGGGCAUGGUCUUUAAGGCAUUAGGCUGCUGUGGCCCCCUUUGCCUGGCAAAGCAAUAAAGCUCUCUUUUUCUCCUUCACCACCACCCCCCAAGUGCUGCUAAACCUCUUAGUCUGUGGCGCAGGCUCAUCGGAUGAUCUGCAGGGACUUGGUUCCUCUCGUUCAAGAUGGAGAUGCCGGGAUGUGUCAUCAUCAUCUUCUGCCUUCUGUGUGGCCUCCCAGCUUCCAGGGCCCCGUGAGUUGUCCCAACCCUCCUUCCAGAACGGUUUGGCCCUGAUGCCGCUGCCGCAAGAGUGCAGUGACCAGGCUUUCCAGGGCUGCUUCUCACCGACACCUACAAUGGUUUUUCUUCUCUGACCAGUUUCGGUUCUGGGCAGUGAGGCUGAGUCUCUGAAUAACACCGAGUCUUCUAACCCUUGAGCAAGACCCCCUCCUGUGCACCUGGAGUGCCCAGCCAGGGCCACAGCCGGUACUGUGUCCCACUGCAGCCUGGGGCAGCUUCUGUGGGCAGUUGUUAGUGUUUCUGGCUUUGCUAGAGCCCCUCUUGGUCACUGCUUUCUUGCUGGGAAUACAUGCACAUAGCAAGUAAAAACAGAGCUGGAUUCAGAUCAGACACAUUGGUUCCACCGCCUACCUCUGCCACAUAUUGGCUGUGAGAUGUUUGCUACAUCACUAAUCUCAACUAUAAAAUAAUAAUAAUAAAAAAACUCUAUCAGUCAGGGUUCUACAAAGAAAUAGAACCAGUAGGAGAUGGAGACUUAUUUUAAAGCAUUGGCUGACACAAUUUAAGGAAUUUAAAAUAAUUAAAUUGGAAGUUCCCUUCAUGGCUCAGUGGUUAACAAGCCUGACUAGGAUCCAUGAGGAUGCGGGUUUGAUCCCUGGCCUCGCUCAGUGGGUUAAGGAUCCAGUGUUGCCGUGAGCUGUGUUGUAGGUCACAGCUUGUACCCCAUGUUGCUAUGGCUGUGGCGUAGGCUGGCGGCUACAGCUCUGAUUCGACCCCUAGCCUGGGAACUUUCAUAUGCUGCAGGUGUGGCCCUAAAAAGCAAAAAUAAAUAAAUAACUAAAAUAAUUAAGUUGGCUGACAAUUUAUUUCAAGGAAUUGGCUGAGACAGUUGUGGGAGCUGGAAAGUCCCAAGUCUCUGGGGCAGGUCAGCCGGCUGAAAACAGUAGGCAGGAGUUGACCUUGCAGACUUGGGACAGAAUUUCUUCUUUGGGAAACCUCAGUGUUUACUCUUAAGACCUUCACCUGAUUGGGGGAGGCCCACCCACCUCCUCAAGGGUACUCUUCACUUAACGUCAACUGGUGGUAGGUAUUAACUACGUCUACAAAAUACUUCACAGCAAUACCUAGGUUAGGGCUUGUUUAAAUAACUGAGUUUGACAGCCUAGUCUGACUGACCAUAAAACUGACCGUCACACUCUCUCACAGAAGAGUUACAAGGAUUAAGGAAAAUAAUGUAUGCAAAUUGCCAAGCAUAGGAUCUGGUCCAGAGCAAGUACUUAUUCAUUACUGAUAUUAUUAUUACUGUUAUUUUUUUUAUUUUCCACUUAUUUGUGGUCUGCCGCUGAUUCCACAAAGCUUUGGGCCUUGUUCCAACGUAUUUGCUGCUCUGAUACAUCACAUCUCCUAAGAGGAGGAUGUAGGCUGUGGGAACUCGGAGGCAGGCAUGGACCAAUCGGUAAGCUCCUGGAGGAGGAGCACAUGUCUGGUUUACACACAGCUCAGAAUAAAUGCUCCGUAUAUAUCAAGAGAUAAAUGCGCAAAGGAAGAUGAUGUCCUAAUAAGCGUGGCUGCCCAAUGCGUAUAAUAUGAGCCUCAUAGGCAAUUUAACGUUUUCCAGGAACCAUGUGUAAAGAAGACACAGACACUAAAAUCCAAAAUGUGAUCAAUAUGAAAAUUAUUAGACAUUUUAUAUUCAUUUUUCCCCACAUUAAGCCUUUGAAAUUCAGCAUGUGUCUUAUACUUACGGCACUUCUCCACCUGGACUGGCCAUAUCUCAAGUGCUCUAUAGCCACAUGUGGCUGGCAGCUACUGUAUUGAGUGGCAUAAGCUUAGAGGAAUACUUCUCCAAGUUCAGUUACUGAAUAAUUGCAUCCUAACCCCUGGGGCUGAUUUAUGGAGCAGGUGGCAGGUUGAUAAUGGGUCCUGCUCUAGAACAAACUCAGUAGGAUUCACCAAAUGAAUCCACCUGUUUGCAGACUGUUUAUGAUCCGUCCUCACCAAAAGAAGAGCAGAAAUUGAGAGCAGACAUUCAGAAAAUUCUAUAACAAUUUGAUAGCGUAAUUUUACAUUCAUUGAAUCUAAUAAUAAAAAAUUGGGGGAAUUGAAUUACAUGUUAUUUAAAAUUUAAUUUUCCUAUAAAUUCAUAUGCCUUAUAUUUACAAAAGUGUCUGUCUAGGAUGAAGUGAAAAGAAAUAAAAACGGGCCCUUCACCAGAGAGAUUCUGAGAAUCAGGGUCUCCGGGGUAGGGAUGGGGGAUUUGUGUUUUUAACAAGCCCCCUAAGGAUUCCUAGACACAAUGAAACUUGAACCUUCUGGAAUUCCAAAAACUCCAAGAAGUGUGUACCUCCUUGUAUUUUUAUUUUUGUGUUUCCCUCCAAAUUGACAUGUCCAGAGGCAGAGCCUCGAGACUGGGUGGGCCUUUAUAACAGGGCAGCUCUGCUGACUUCAAAGACACUGACCCAGUGCCAGUGGGGAGCCCUGUCCCGCCCUGAGGUCCACAUCAGCCAGAACGCCAGGCCCGCACAGUCCUGCUUCUUCUUGAGACCCUUUUGUGAAUCCUCUAGCAUCCUGGGAUUUUGAAGGUUUUCUCUGAUCCUCCACACAGAGAAUACGACUUUUCAAUCUCCAUCUCUUGGAGCAGACAGGCAAUC
rnacentral:lncRNA from 1 species